rnacentral:rRNA from 1 species
GACGAACGCUGGCGGCGUGCUUAACACAUGCCAGUCGAACGGAAAGGCCCUGCUUUUGUGGGGUGCUCGAGUGGCGAACGGGUGAGUAACACGUGAGUAACCUGCCCUUGACUUUGGGAUAACUUCAGGAAACUGGGGCUAAUACCGGAUAGGAGCUCCUGCUGCAUGGUGGGGGUUGGAAAGUUUCGGCGGUUGGGGAUGGACUCGCGGCUUAUCAGCUUGUUGGUGGGGUAGUGGCUUACCAAGGCUUUGACGGGUAGCCGGCCUGAGAGGGUGACCGGCCACAUUAGGACUGAGAUACGGCCCAGACUCCUACGGGAGGCAGCGGUGGAGAGUAUUACACAGUGGGCGGAAGCCUGAUGCAGCAACGCCGCGUGCGGGAUGACGGCCUUCGGGUUGUAAACCGCUUUCGCCUGUGACGAGGCGUGAGUGACGGUAAUGGGUAAAGAAGCACCGGCUAACUACGUG